rnacentral:rRNA from 1 species
CGUGUAGACGGUUUUAUAAGUUACAGGUGAAAGCCCAUUUUUCAAGGAUGGAACUGCCUGUAAGACUGUAGGACUUGAGUGCAGGAGAGGGAAGCGGAAUUCCAAGUGUAGCGGUGAAAUGCGUAGAUAUUUGGAGGAACACCAGUGGCGAAGGCGGCUUUCUGGACUGCAACUGACGUUGAGGCGCGAAAGCGUGGGGAGCAAACA